UACUGUAUCCUCAUUGUGCUAGUACAUAUUACUAGUGUUUAGGUGAUACUUACUUUGAUGAAGCAGUUGAUGGUUUUUGAAGGAUCUCUUCUCCAUUUGGAAGGUGUGAUUCCAUUGAUAAACUCCAUAAAAGGUGUGAGACCAUUAAUUGAGAGAUACAGGACUCACAACAGUUCAAGGACUUCUACCAGUUUACGUUUAAUUUUGCCAAAAACUCAGGCAGAAAGGACUAGGCUAGUGACAUAAUAUUAUACAUAUCUUGAGAUGGCCAUUGCCUGCUGGAAUCUUAUUUUUACUGGUCGCUUCAAAUUUUUGGACUUGUGGUGUGAAUUUUUAAGAUCUCAUUAUAAAAGAGCUGGCAAUACCCAAAGACACUUGGAACCUUCUGCUAGAGUUUUCUAACAGGAUUGAUGACACCAUGAGCAAUUAUGAUGAAGAUGGCCCCCCAAGCCCCAAGAGUUCACUAUAAACCUGAGACUGGGGGCCCCUUUAAUUGGGGGCCUAGUGCUAAUUCCCCCUUGCCCCCUCCUAU